UAGGGAAUCUUCGGCAAUGGGGGGAACCCUGACCGAGCAACGCCGCGUGAGUGAAGAAGGUUUUCGGAUCGUAAAGCUCUGUUGUUAAGGAAGAACGAGUGUGAGAAUGGAAAGUUCAUGCUGUGACGGUACUUAACCAGAAAGGGACGGCUAACUACGUGCCAGCAGCCGCGGUAAUACGUAGGUCCCGAGCGUUGUCCGGAUUUAUUGGGCGUAAAGCGAGCGCAGGCGGUUAGAAAAGUCUGAAGUGAAAGGCAGUGGCUCAACCAUUGUAGGCUUUGGAAAUUGUUUAACUUGAGUGCAGAAGGGGAGAGUGGAAUUCCAUGUGUAGCGGUGAAAUGCGUAGAUAUAUGGAGGAACACCGGUGGCGAAAGCGGCUCUCUGGUCUGUAACUGACGCUGAGGCUCGAAAGCGUGGGGAGCGAACAGG
rnacentral:rRNA from 1 species